ACAAAGAAGGAAAAAGAAAUAGAUGUUAUGAAAAAAAAAUCCAAGGCAGAUCAAAGGGGAUGUGGUAGAGGAUUCAACGACUGCUACCCUUAAGCAAAGAACAGUAAUGAAGAAAUGAGUUUUGGCAGCCCAGCCAAUGGGAUAUUAAAGAAAUUAAUCCAGAAGGGAUGUAAUGACCUGAAAAAAAUGAUGAACAAAGACCAGAAGCAUCAGGAGAGAGAAAGGGAAGCAGACAGAAUGGACUUCAGUGCAACAGGGAAUUAAACUGAAAUCAUUAAAUUCUUUCUACUUAGCACUUUAGAGAACAUUUAUAUCCAGCCUGCCUAAGGAGAUGGCGCAGGGAGCACGCCCCAGGCUCCACCGCUGAGUCUAUUUCCCGGCACCCAACCGGAGACAGAGGGUUCAAGAAAACACAUGUUGCCAUUAGAAGCAGACCAUGAAGACUCCAGAGAAGAAAGAGAGAAGAAUGUGGGGAGCAGUAGGUGCCCAGCAGGCUGCAGGGGUCACUGACUGUAACUGAAAGCUGAAGGAAUUGAGGUGGGCCAAGGGGAGCGUGGCGGAGGUGCGGGGUGCAGAGGAUGGAAUGCAGGGUGGUGUGGCCUGAGUGUGGGAGGUCCCAUCAACAGAAAAGGCCCCCAGACAUUUACAAGUCUACAGAGGAAACACAUACCUUGAGAGAAAGGCUACAGAUCACCACCUGGCAUGGGCAUAUUGGGGUGACGACAUGCCGGCCCCAAGUGGGUUACCGCUAUUCCAACACCUUGUUCAACAAAAGUGUUCUUCGUUAUAAGUUUGUCCUCAACUCGACAGUAGAAAUCAAAGAGAAGAUGGAAUUUAUCUGAUUCAAGUCCUCUUUACAGGCUUUUUCCCCUGGGCCAAAGCAAUCCCAUAAAGACACUUAGUCUCCCUUCAGCUUUCUCUUCUUCAGACAAGAAAUAGAAGCUGUUUG